GAGUUUGAUCCUGGCUCAGAUUGAACGCUGGCGGCAGGCCUAACACAUGCAAGUCGAGCGGAAACGAGUUAACUGAACCUUCGGGGAACGUUAACGGCGUCGAGCGGCGGACGGGUGAGUAAUGCCUGGGAAAUUGCCCUGAUGUGGGGGAUAACCAUUGGAAACGAUGGCUAAUACCGCAUAAUAGCUUCGGCUCAAAGAGGGGGACCUUCGGGCCUCUCGCGUCAGGAUAUGCCCAGGUGGGAUUAGCUAGUUGGUGAGGUAAUGGCUCACCAAGGCGACGAUCCCUAGCUGGUCUGAGAGGAUGAUCAGCCACACUGGAACUGAGACACGGUCCAGACUCCUACGGGAGGCAGCAGUGGGGAAUAUUGCACAAUGGGCGCAAGCCUGAUGCAGCCAUGCCGCGUGUAUGAAGAAGGCCUUCGGGUUGUAAAGUACUUUCAGCAGUGAGGAAGGUGGGUAUGUUAAUAGCAUACUCAUUUGACGUUAGCUGCAGAAGAAGCACCGGCUAACUCCGUGCCAGCAGCCGCGGUAAUACGGAGGGUGCGAGCGUUAAUCGGAAUUACUGGGCGUAAAGCGCAUGCAGGUGGUUUGUUAAGUCAGAUGUGAAAGCCCGGGGCUCAACCUCGGAAUUGCAUUUGAAACUGGCAAACUAGAGUACUGUAGAGGGGGGUAGAAUUUCAGGUGUAGCGGUGAAAUGCGUAGAGAUCUGAAGGAAUACCGGGGGUAAAGGCGGCCCCCUGGACAAAAACGGA
rnacentral:rRNA from 1 species